UACGUAGGGGGGCAAGCGUUUGUCCGGAUUUAUUGGGCGUAAAGAGCUCGUAGGCGGUUCCGUAAGUCGAGUGUGAAAAAUCUGGGCUCAACCCAGUGGAGCACUCGAUACUGCGGUGACUGGAGUACGGUAGAGGAGUGUGGAAUUUGUGGUGUAGCGGUGAAAUGCGCAGAUAUCAGGAGGAACACCGGUGGCGAAGGCGGGACUCUGGGCCGAUACUGACGCUGAGGAGCGAAAGCGUGGGGAGCGAACAGG
rnacentral:rRNA from 1 species